rnacentral:rRNA from 1 species
CAACCUACCCUAAAGACGAGGAUAACCAUUGGAAACAGUGGCUAAGACUGGAUAGGAAGAUAAAAGGCAUCUUUUAUCUUUUAAAAGACCUAGUAAUAGGUAUGCUUUAGGAGGGGCUUGCGCCAUAUUAGUUAGUUGGUAGGGUAAUGGCCUACCAAGACGAUGAUGUGUAGCUGGACUGAGAGGUUGAACAGCCACAUUGGGACUGAGACACGGCCCAAACUCCUACGGGAGGCAGCAGUAGGGAAUUUUCGGCAAUGGAGGAAACUCUGACCGAGCAACGCCGCGUGAAUGACGAAGUACUUCGGUAUGUAAAGUUCUUUUAUCAAGGAAGAAAAGCAAAUGGCGAACCAUUUGUUUGCCGGUACUUGAUGAAUAAGCCCCGGCUAAUUAUGUGCCAGCAGCCGCGGUAAGACAUAAGGGGCAAGUGUUAUCCGGAAUUAUUGGGCGUAAAGGGUGCGUAGGCGGUCUAGUAAGUCAGUGGUGUAAUGGCAACGCUUAACGUUGUCCGGCUAUUGAAACUGCUAAACUUGAGUUAGAUAGAGGCGAGUGGAAUUCCAUGUGUAGCGGUAAAAUGCGUAAAUAUAUGGAGGAACACCAGAGGCGUAGGCGGCUCGCUGGGUCUUAACUGACGCUGAGGCACGAAAGCGUGGGGAGCAAACAGGAUUAGAUACCCUGGUAGUCCACGCCGUAAACGAUGAGUACUAAGUGUCGGGUUAAACCGGUACUGAAGUUAACACAUUAAGUACUCCGCCUGAGUAGUACGUACGCAAGUAUGAAACUUAAAGGAAUUGACGGGACUCCGCACAAGCGGUGGAUCAUGUUGUUUAAUUCGAAGAUACCCGAAAAACCUUACCAGGUCUUGACAUGUUUUUGCAAAAUGAUAGUAAUAUCGUGGAGGUUACCAGAAACACAGGUGGUGCAUGGUUGUCGUCAGCUCGUGUCGUGAGAUGUUAGGUUAAGUCCUAAAACGAGCGAAACCCUUAUCGUUAGUUGCCAGCACGUUAUGGUGGGGACUUUAACGAGACUGCCAAUGAUAAAUUGGAGGAAGGUGAGGAUCACGUCAAAUCAGCAUGCCCCUUAUGACCUGGGCUACAAACGUGAUACAAUGGCUGUUACAAAGGGUAGCUGAAACGCAAGUUCUUGGCCAAUCCCCAAAAACAGUCCCAGUCCGGAUUGAAGUCUGCAACUCGACUUCAUGAAGUUGGAAUCGCUAGUAAUCGCGAAUCAGCAUGUCGCGGUGAAUACGUUCUCGGGGUUUGUACACACCGCCCGUCAAACCACGAAAGUUGGCAAUACCCCAAAACGGUAGCCUAACU